rnacentral:ncRNA from 1 species
CCGCUGCAAAACCCGGGGCGCGAGCCCGGGCGGAGCGGCCGUCGGUGCAGAUCUUGGUGGUAGUAGCAAAUAUUCAAAUGAGAACUUUGAAGGCCGAAGAGGAGAAAGGUUCCAUGUGAACGGCACUUGCACAUUUAUAGUCGAAGAUGGUGUCUUGGCCAACAUGUACAGCUGAUCUACAACAUCAUUGUCAUUCAUUAAAUGUUUUCUCAACCAACUGCCGAAAGUCUCCAUGUGGGCCUUCCUAAUCCAGGAUUCAGGCUUCCCCGGGU